rnacentral:rRNA from 1 species
ACGAACGCUGGCGGCAUGCCUAACACAUGCAAGUCGAACGAGACCUUCGGGUCUAGUGGCGCACGGGUGCGUAACGCGUGGGAACCUGCCCUUAGGUUCGGAAUAACUCCCCGAAAGGGGUGCUAAUACCGGAUAAUGUCUUCGGACCAAAGAUUUAUCGCCUUUGGAUGGGCCCGCGUUGGAUUAGCUAGUUGGUAGGGUAAAAGCCUACCAAGGCGACGAUCCAUAGCUGGUCUGAGAGGAUGAUCAGCCACACUGGGACUGAGACACGGCCCAGACUCCUACGGGAGGCAGCAGUGGGGAGUAUUGGACAAUGGGCGAAAGCCUGAUCCAGCAAUGCCGCGUGAGUGAUGAAGGCCUUAGGGUUGUAAAGCCCUUUUACCCGGGAUGAUAAUGACAGUACCGGGAGAAUAAGCUCCGGCUAACUCCGUG